rnacentral:rRNA from 1 species
GCUGCGAACUGCGAUACGUAAUGCGAAUUGCAGGAUUCAGUGAGUCAUCGAAAUUUUGAACGCAUAUUGCACUUUCGGGUUAUGCCUGGAAGUAUGCCUGUAUCAGUGUCCGUACAUCAAACUUGCCUUUCUUUUUCUGUGUAGUCAGGAAUCGAGAU